UCCCGAGGUCAAUGAGAAUAACGCAAACGCUCCAAACCCAACCUAAAGGGGUGGCGCUUUUUAUAAACUCAAGUACAACACGAGAGGGAAGUCCAGCUGUUACACAGAAGCUGUAACUCGCUGUGGAAAGUUGCACACUUAAUUUCCUGUACCGUUCUAAGAUUGCAUUCCAGCUUUACCAUGGCGACCGUGAUAAGAAGGGCGAGGAAUGAGCAAGGGCCACAUGCGCAGACAGGGUCAUUAAAACAAGUCUGACACCUGUGUGUAAUCAGAGACAGGUAGACAAGCGUGUUCCUGCAGGAAUGUCCCAGUGUUUUUCUUCUAAGAGCUCCUUUGGUAUGUCACCCCAGGAUCAAAAUACCAUUUACAUUCCUCUCCAGCACCUCUCCUUCCAAUCAGCUCUUGGGAUUAUAGAUGUGGGCCACUGCGAUAAGGCAGGUUUGCUUUUUAAACACUGGCUGAUCUUUGUUAGAUGACCCUGACUAUAACUUUAGUCAGCAAGACCGCUUCAAUCAGGUAGAAGCUGCAAUGUUCAGGCAUGUUCAGACAACUACAGAAAACAAAGAAACCAGACUGUUCAUAAAGAGUGAAGAGGGUUUUUUGCAGGCAGGAAAGAAAGCAACUGGGGGAAGGAAGAGGGGGAGAGUGUUAAUUUGAAAACAACAUUUAUUUUAUGAGCCACUAAAACAGGAUGAAAGAUAAGAUUGUGGAGACAAGACUCAAGGAGAAAGGCAGAAGUGUUACAAGAACAUUAAGGCUUUAGUUCUAUGAUGAAGAAACAGAAGAAGCAGGCAAAGCCAGAAUUUGACACAAAGGGCUUUUUGAGUCCUUGUGUUUUACGCAAGACAUGAUGUGGGAGGCCAUUCCUGACAACUCCAUCGACUCAGCUGUAACGCACAUGGAUGAUCAAAGAAGGAUCACACAUUCAAGUCUCACCCAGAGUUGCAGGACGGUUGGCCACAGCCACACACAAGAUCUAACGAGAAUGCUGGCAGAAACACGGUCGCUUUCCAGGCCAUUUCCAAAUGCGUUUGGCAUAGGCUGAUCUUGGUUGUGAUGGUUGGGUUCAUCUUUCUGCCCGACAUAUGGACUGUAUUCCGGAUGAAAUGCUAGCUUACUAUUUACUCUGUACUUAAAAAUUGAAGUUCUUUAUUGUCAACUAUUGUCCUAUGAAGACCUUUAACAUUCAUGGAAUCUUUAUUCACUGAAAGGUUCUUUGGGGUGAAUAGUUCUUAGAAGAACCAUAUCUAAAUGGAUCUUCCAUGGUUCUCCCCUUUUGAAACCUUUAUUUUAAGGGCUCUGCUAUUAUUUAUCAAUUGUAGCCAUUAUUGUACAAUAAAACAUUAAACAUAAGCAUGCUAAAGUGUUAUCAUAUACGGCACAUUUUGGCAUAUUGCUGGAAUAGUACAGCGAUAUUUAGUGCCACAGCUAAAUAAAUUAGGAUACAACAGGAUACAAUUAGAUGCAGCUAAAUCAAUAACAAGCAGCGUGAGCAGUGUCUGAUUCAUUAACAAAUGACUCCUAUGAGCCUGUUCCUUUACGUAAAUCUGAUUUUUUACAGUGUAGUAUGAUUCCUGGACAAAUGACUCCCGUGAGCAACUUCUAUUUCGUGAAUCUAAAUCAUAGGUAAUUGUAAAGGUUCUAUUUACUGAAUAAGUGGGCCAUAAUUGUACAAUGCAACCCAUGAAGUCUGAAUAACUGCUAUUGAGGGAAAAACAUGCAGCACAAUUGAAUUAAUGACUUUCGUAAGACGAUUCUUUUUAUUUAAAAGUUUAAAAAGUGACUAACCUUUUUAAUAGGAUUCAGUCUGAUAGUCCUUCAUUGAGUGGUUACUGAAUCAACAUCUGACUCACUAAACCGUUAUAGUUAUUUUCAGUGAUGUCCAUGUUGAAAUGAAGCUUUCAGAUUUGCAACAAUCUCUAACAUAGAAUAAAUGGGCUUCAAGCUGGCUCAUAAAUUAUAGUGCCAUGUUAAAUAGAUAGUUUUACUUUUAUUAGGGGUCAUCAUCUUCUUAUUAAAGGUCACGCACUCGCCUUUUUAACAAUAUCAGCAUAGAAAACCCAUCUGAUCUCUCGAAGGUGGUGAAGCAGCUCUGCUUAUGUAGUCCAGUCUGUCACAUGUGACAAUGAUCUCAUUGUGCCUGGACUUAAUAUGGGAUUCCCUUCAUGGCAUGCAGCUCAUUUACGAAGGGUUGAAGCAGCCCCCUUGCUUCCCCUAGACACACUCAAUGAUGCGAGAUCUUUGAGGUAGACAAACCACUCUCUGUUCUGAGUUUCCACCCCUUUUAGUCUUUCCCUGACUAUCAAGCCACUGAAAACCAUUAUGUUGCAUAAGGAGGGUAAAAUUAAUGCAGCUCUGUUCAAAAAUAACAACAGUUAACUAUAAAGACCAUAAUUGGAAUAGCAAUUUGUAACACAUUUGUAGCAGUAGGGUAAAUGCGGAUAUUUUGUUUUUCAAUUACAAACUUGAGGAAUUUAAUAAAUGAUUAGUCUGCACUGGUAUAAUGCAGUAUUUUUUUUUAUUUUCUGAAAAAACAUAUUAAGACCUUUUAAAUCAUUAGCCCCAAAUUCCAAAGUUAACAAAUGGAAGAGUGCGGAAUGUUAUUACAGCUGUAUCUGACUGCAGGAAUAAGAACCGUAAGGAAAUCCACGUUAGUCUGCAAAACCAUACGUAAUAUUAUUCUAACAGUAUUCCUCUAAAGCACAGAUUUCUUUUACCGUAAUAUGUAAAGCUUUUUACAUACAAAGCCAAUUUAUAAAGGUAAGCAUAAUUUGAAAACUUGUUGAACUUUCUACACUGUAAAAGUUCGUUUUAUUUAAACAAAAUACACAUGGAAAAUGUACAUGGAAAUAGUUGUUUAAAAAUUAAAGUUAUGUACUAUAUUUAGUUUGAAUGAUAUAUAUAUUUUUUUAUAUGUUCUAUGUUAAUUAUGCUACAUGCAAUUCAAUAUAAUACUACAUAUGUUAUAUAUGGUACUUGGCGUGCUAUCAAUUAAUAAAAUGACCUCUAAUAACAUUGAAGAUAAACCUCUUUCAUGCUAAGAAUGAAGACAAUUUUUUCUCAUGUUAUUUGUAUGAUGUCACACCAUUGGACACUCCAUUGGUCCAAUUUUCAUUUGUAAAACAUAUUAUAUAUUUGAAUAUGUAUUUAGACAUUACCAAAGACUAAUUCAUUGUAAAACAGUUCAGUCUUAAAUUUCUGUACAUAUAGCAAUUGUCACAAAAGUCACUAAGUUCCAUAUACUCUCCUCCCCAGCGACUAAAUUGUAAAAUACAUUACAUAAAAUGUCAUGAAGGUUGAAAAUCAAUAUUCUUUAUUGGCAUCUAUGGUUCCACGUAAAAUUUUUAACAUUCAUGGAACAUUUCCAUUCCGUUAAAGGUAGUUUAAACCUUAAUGUUCUUCACAUUAAGAGCGCAAACAAUUAUUUUAAGAACCGUGUACUGAAAGGUUCUUUGGGGAACUCAGUUCUUCUGUGGCACCCGUGUUUGGUUCACAGUAAAUCACCUGACUCUGAGCUGGUUUUGAAUACAAACAUACCUCAUCCAGAUGUUUUCUUCUUGCGACAGGGGUUAUACUGAUUGCCAGCAUCAUCACUCAGCACAAGUGAUUACUGUCUUUGUAACAUCUUAAGCAUCAACAACCUGUCUGCCAAUGAGAGCUGUGUGAGUCAGCCGAAUCACAGGUUAACACACCUGAGCCCGAUUGUAUGUUGAGUGACAAGUCCACUGUUUUCACAACUAUAGCAUGUGGUUCACGUAUAGCACCUAACCUAAUCCCUCACUUUAUCUGUCCUCAUGUUUAUUUAUUUCCAUUCCCUCAGAUUGACUCAUGAAAUAAUUGCUGCUCUUAUGCAUCAGUUAUUUAACAUUUGUGCUCUGAGUGUCAUAGACUGUUACUUUACAACCAUAACAGCUGGUUUGAGGGUUCUUAUG